rnacentral:rRNA from 1 species
AUUGAACGCUGGCGGCAGGCUUAACACAUGCAAGUCGAACGAGUGGCGGACGGGUGAGUAAUGCUUGGGAAUCCCGCUCAUGGAGGGGGAUAACUACGGGAAACUGUAGCUAAUACCCCGUACCAUAGGAUGAGCCCAAGUGGGAUUAGGUAGUUGGUGGGGUAAAGGCUCACCAAGCCGACGAUCUCUAGCUGUUCUGAGAGGAUGACCGGCCACACUGGGACUGAGACACGGCCAAUACUCCUACGGGUGGCAGAAGGGGGGAAUAUUGCGAAAUGGGGGCAACCUGACGCAGCCAUGCCGCGGGAAGGAAGAAGGCCUUCGGGUUGUAAAGUUCUUUCGGUAGCGAGGCGUUAACGAAAGAGGAAGCACCGGCUAACUCCGUGCCAGCAGCCGCGGUAAUUC